rnacentral:lncRNA from 1 species
CGGGAAUGCCGCGGAGCCCGUCCCGGCUCUCCGGGCGCCGCCGGACCCGAGGCUCUGCCCCGUUGGGGUCCGGACUGACCCGACCUUCCCCAGCUCCCACUCAACGCUGGAAAGUUUCUGAUGAAACAUCCAGGCUCCACAGAGCUGGAAACCAGGAAUGAGCUCCCGUGGGAGAUGGAGAAGCUCCUGUGCCUCCACAAGAACAGUGACACCCAUCCCCGGGCCCGUAAAUCCCAGGGGAAUGUUCCCAAGGCGAGUCUGGGUGCAGAGCUCAUCACCCCCUUCCCUGUGACCCCAAACAUCUGGAAUGAAUCGGGAUCGCCUUUCUGGAGUUCUGUUCCAGCCCUGUCCCUGUUUUCUGGCGCGCCAGGCUGUGCUGGGCCGGAGCACGCCGCCGGACCUUUCCCCUCGCAGUGCCACGGAAUUUUGGAAGGAUUCGCUUCCCGCCCGCGGGAAGAGGCGUUCAAAGCCUUUCCCCCAUCCGAAGUGCCAGGUGUCGGCUCUCCCUAGCGG